CCCAUGUUCCUUAGAUCCACCCUUGGGUUCAUACAGCUGGUCCACAGCUCAGGUGUGACUAGAUAGCUGGUCAACAGCUCAUGUGUGACUAGCUAGCUGGUCCAUGGCUCAUGUGUGACUAGCUAGCUGGUCCAUGGCUCAGAUGUGACUAGCUUGAACCAGCAACUUUCUUGGUUGUAUGUCGAGGGUGCUUGAGUCAUAAGCAUGGAACAGUAAUAUACCUUAGUCUGUAGCUGUUAGCUCUCCUCUGUUGGUAGCUGUUGCUGCAGGCUUGGACACU